AUUGAACGCUGGCGGCAUGCCUUACACAUGCAAGUCGAACGGCAGCGCGGGAGCUUGCUCCUGGCGGCGAGUGGCGAACGGGUGAGUAAUACAUCGGAACGUACCCAGAAGUGGGGGAUAACGUAGCGAAAGUUACGCUAAUACCGCAUAUUCUGUGAGCAGGAAAGUGGGGGAUCGCAAGACCUCACGCUUUUGGAGCGGCCGAUGUCGGAUUAGCUAGUUGGUGAGGUAAAGGCUCACCAAGGCGACGAUCCGUAGCGGGUCUGAGAGGAUGAUCCGCCACACUGGGACUGAGACACGGCCCAGACUCCUACGGGAGGCAGCAGUGGGGAAUUUUGGACAAUGGGGGCAACCCUGAUCCAGCCAUGCCGCGUGAGUGAAGAAGGCCUUCGGGUUGUAAAGCUCUUUCGCGAGGGAAGAAAGCGCACUGGUUAAUACCUGGUGUGGAUGACGGUACCUUGAUAAGAAGCACCGGCUAACUACGUGCCAGCAGCCGCCGUAA
rnacentral:rRNA from 1 species